UCCUUCCCAAGCCGGGAGAGGCUCUUCCUGGCCCUUCACUGUGAGAACCUACAGGGGCUCCUGGAGGUCUGGGUGAUGAUCCAGGACACUGACAUCAGUGAGGUGACUCUGCAUUCCAAGCUGUGCACGUGAGACUUGGGGCUCCAGCAGGAAGAUGACCUCCUCCAAAUUGAUGGAAAAUACCAGGAAAGAGGUAGACAUGGCACAUGGAAAACAAGAGAGAAGCUAAGGGAAUGUCCAGGAGAACAAUGAAAACACAUGUAAGAAGACAACUGUGUGCCUGGCAUAGAAAACAACCAGUCUGGUUUGCAGCAGUGUAAUACACGACAGCCUUGCUGAGAGAAGUCAUUGCUACAACCUCGGCCCUUGUACCCUCUUUUUAACUGGAUGAAACUACUGGAAGAUACAAAACAAGAAAGGAGAACACUUGACAGCUUAAGAGAUAGGGAAUUCAACCUCAGAGGAGGGAGAAGGGAAUUUCAAGAUGGACAACUGGGUAUCAGACCUAGAGAAUGCAGGAGAAGGAUGAUCUUCAGGAGUGAUGCCUCCUAGAAUGGUUUGGAACUCACAA